CAGUAGCCGCGGUAAAACGAAGGGGGCUAGCGUUGCUCGGAAUGACUGGGCGUAAAGGGCGCGUAGGCGGUCCGGAUAGUCAGAUGUGAAAUUCCUGGGCUUAACCUGGGGGCUGCAUUUGAUACUGUCGGGCUUGAGUAUGGAAGAGGGUCGUGGAAUUCCCAGUGUAGAGGUGAAAUUCGUAGAUAUUGGGAAGAACACCGGUGGCGAAGGCGGCGACCUGGUCCAUAACUGACGCUGAGGCGCGAAAGCGUGGGGAGCGAACAGGAUUAGAUACCCCGGUAGUCCCUGUCUCUUAUAC
rnacentral:rRNA from 1 species